rnacentral:rRNA from 1 species
AGUGAACGCUGGCGGUAGGCCUAACACAUGCAAGUCGAACGGCAGCACAGUAAGAGCUUGCUCUUACGGGUGGCGAGUGGCGGACGGGUGAGGAAUACAUCGGGAUCUACUUUUUCGUGGGGGAUAACGUAGGGAAACUUACGCUAAUACCGCAUACGACCUACGGGUGAAAGCAGGGGAUCUUCGGACCUUGCGCGAUUGAAUGAGCCGAUGUCGGAUUAGAUAGUUGGCGGGGUAAAGGCCCACCAAGGCGACGAUCCGUAGCUGGUCUGAGAGGAUGAUCAGCCACACUGGAACUGAGACAGGGUCAAGAGGCCUAAGGGAGGCAGCAGUGGGGAAUAUUGGACAAUGGGCGCAAGCAUGAUCCAGCCAGACCGCGUGGGUGAAGAAGGCCUUCGGGUUGUAAAGACCUUUUGUUGGGAAAGAAAAGCAGCAGGUUAAUACCCCGCUGUUCUGACGGUACCCAAAGAAUAAGCACCGGCUAACUUCGUG